UACGGGAGGCAGCAGUGGGGAAUUUUCCGCAAUGGGCGAAAGCCUGACGGAGCAAUACCGCGUGAGGGAGGAAGGCUCUUGGGUUGUAAACCUCUUUUCUCAGGGAAGAAGUUCUGACGGUACCUGAGGAAUCAGCAUCGGCUAACUCCGUGCCAGCAGCCGCGGUAAUACGGAGGAUGCAAGCGUUAUCCGGAAUGAUUGGGCGUAAAGCGUCCGCAGGUGGCACUCCAAGUCUGCUGUCAAAGGUCGGGGCUCAACUCCGAACAGGCAGUGGAAACUGGAGAGCUAGAGUGCGGUAGGGGCAGAGGGAAUUCCCGGUGUAGCGGUGAAAUGCGUAGAGAUCGGGAAGAACACCAGUGGCGAAAGCGCUCUGCUAGGCCGCAACUGACACUCAGGGACGAAAGCUAGGGGAGCGAAUGGGAUUAGAUACCCCAGUAGUCCUAGCCNGUAAACGAUGGAUACUAGGCGUGGCAUGUAUCGACCCGUGCCGUGCCGGAGCUAACGCGUUAAGUAUCCCGCCUGGGGAGUACGCGCGCAAGCGUGAAACUCAAAGAAAUUGACGG
rnacentral:rRNA from 1 species